UCCUCGGUAGCUCAGUGGCUAGAGCAACGAACUAGUGAUUCGGAGGUUGCGGGUUCGAGUCCCGCUCGGGGAG